GCCUUGCUAGCUCAAUCGGUAGAGCGUGAGAGUAAGCUAACUCGUUCCGUUCCAACACAACAAAUCUAACCAGCUCAUCAGCUCUUAAUCUCAAGGUUGUGGGUUCGACCCCCACGUAGGGCU